UCUAACUACGUGCAGUCGCACGAUGGAAUACGUAUGGAGUAAGGGUUAAUGUGAAUUACUCGGCGGAAAGCGCGCGCAGUCGGUUUUGUAAGACUGAGGGGAAAGCCCCGGGCUCAACGUUGGAACGGCCGGUGUGACUGUAAGUCUAGAGUGCGGAAGAGGGAAAUGGAAUUCCGCGGGUAGCAGUGAAAUGCGUAUAUAUGCGGAGGAACACCGAUGGCGAAGGCGAUCCCCUGGGCCUGUACUGACGCUCAUGCACGAAAGCGUGGGGAGCAAACAGGAUUAGAUACCCGGGUAGUC
rnacentral:rRNA from 1 species